rnacentral:rRNA from 1 species
GACAGAGGGGGCAAGCGUUGCUCGGAAUUACUGGGCGUAAAGGGCGCGUAGGCGGGAUGGCAAGUCGGUCGUGAAAUCCCUCGGCUCAACUGAGGAUCGUCGAUCGAUACUGCCGUUCUUGAGGAUUGCAGAGGAGACUGGAAUUCCCGGUGUAGCGGUGAAAUGUGUAGAGAUCGGGAGGAACACCGGUGGCGAAGGCGGGUCUCUGGGCCUUUCCUGACGCUGAGACGCGAAAGCGUGGGGAGCGAACCGG